AGAGUGUGUGAAGCUUUUGAGAAUUGUGGUUGCCCUCCAUUGAUGAAGCUCUUGUUGGCACCAUAUAUUGGUUUUGCUUCACACUGUCUUGAUCAAGAGUGUGUGAAGCUUUCUAUGAGUUGCAGUGUUUGCAUUGUUACAGAGGGGAGAUGUCUGAAGUAGAUGCAAGAGGGCUGAAUAGCUUGAUCUUCGUACGCCAUGCACUGAAGUUGUUGUUGGCUUGCAAUAAGACUUUGUUAGUGACUAUAACUCUUGUUGGGCAUAAGUGCCCCUAGUUGAGUUGUCAAGCUUGAAGGUUUUUGAUUAUUUGUGAAUGCUAAGAGUUCACAUGUACAAGUUGUACCACUCGUCUUUUGGUAGGUGGAAUGAAUGGUGAGUUGCUUUCAUCACUUGGUUGGUGGUACGAAUGUGAGUUCCUUUAUCACCUUUCAUCACAUUUCAUCACCUAGUUGGUGGCACGAUGAUGAGUUCCUUCUUCACCUGGUUGGUGGCAUAAAUGGCAAGUUGCCAAAUGAUAUUAGAGUACGGGUUGUACAUUUCAUCACUUGGUUGGUGGCAUGAAGAUGAGUUCCUUCUUCACCUGGUUGGUGGCAUGAGUGGCAAGUUGCCAAAUGAUAUUAGAGUACUGGUUGUACAUUUCAUCACCUGGUUGGUGGCAUGAAGGAGAGUACGAGUUGUAUAUUUCAUCACCUGGUUGGUGGCAUAAAGAUGAGUUCCUUCUUCACUUGGUUGGUGGCAUGAGUGGCAAGUUGCCAAAUGAUAUUAGAGUACGGGUUGUACAUUUCAUCACCUGGUUGAUGGCAUGAAAGAGAGUACGGGUUGUACAUUUCAUCACCUGGUUGGUGGCAUGAAGAUGAGUUCCUUCUUCACUUGGUUGGUGGCAUGAUUGGCAAGUUGCCAAAUGAUAUUAGAGUACGGGUUGUACAUUUCAUCACCUGGUGGGUGGCAUGAAGGAGAGUACGAGUUGUACAUUUCAUCACCUGGUUGGUGGCAUGAAGAUGAGUUCCUUCUUUACAUUUCAUCACCUGGUUGGUGAGAAUAAGGGCAAGGUGUCGAGGCACAUUGUAGCAAGUGUCGAAGACAUAAAGUAUGUUGAACCCUUUCAAAGCAC
rnacentral:lncRNA from 1 species